rnacentral:rRNA from 1 species
UACGUAGGGGGCCAGCGUUGUUCGGAAUUACUGGGGGUAAAGGGUUCGUAGGCGGUGCGGCAAGUCGGGAGUGAAAUCUCUGGGCUCAACUCAGAGACUGCUUCCGAAACUGCUGUGCUGGAGUGUGGGAGAGGCGCGUGGAAUUGCAGGUGUAGCGGUGAAAUGCGUAGAUAUCUGCAGGAACUCCCAUGGCGAAAGCGGCGCGCUGGACCACUACUGACGCUGAGGAACGAAAGCUAGGGGAGCAAACAGG